GAUGAACGCUGGCGGCGUGCCUAAUACAUGCAAGUCGAGCGAACGGACGAGACGCUUGCUUUUCUGAUGUUAGCGGCGGACGGGUGAGUAACACGUGUAUAACCUACCUAUCAGACUGGGAUAACUUCGGGACACCGGAGCUAAUACCGGAUAAUAUUUUGCACCGCAUGGUUCAAAAGUGAAAUACGGUCUUGCUGUCACUUAUAGAUGGUUCCGCGCUGCAUUAGCUAGUUGGUAAGGUAACGGCUUACCAAGGCAACUAUGCCUAGACGACCUGAGAGAGUGAUCGCCCACACGAGAGCUGGGACAGCGUCCAGACGACUGAGGGAGGGAGCAGUAGGGUAUCGGCCGCAGUAGGCGAGAGCCUGACGGAGCGGCGCGACGUCAGUGAUGAAGAUCUUCGGAGCGUAAAACUGGGUUAUUAGUGAAGAACAGAUGUGGAAGUAACUGUGCACAUCGUGACGGUACCUAAUCAGAAAGCCACGGCUAACUACGUG
rnacentral:rRNA from 1 species